GACGAACGCUGGCGGCGUGCUUAACACAUGCAAGUCGAACGGAAAGGCCCUGCUUUUGUGGGGUGCUCGAGUGGCGAACGGGUGAGUAACACGUGAGUAACCUGCCCUUGACUUUGGGAUAACUUCAGGAAACUGGGGCUAAUACCGGAUAGGAGCUCCUGCUGCAUGGGGGGGGUUGGAAAGUUUCGGCGGUUGGGGAUGGACUCGCGGCUUAUCAGCUUGUUGGUGGGGUAGUGGCUUACCAAGGCUUUGACGGGUAGCCGGCCUGGGAGGGUGACCGGCGACAUUGCGACUGAGAUACGGCCCAGACUCCUACGGGAGGCAGCAGUGGGGAAUAUUGCCCAAUGGGCGGAAGCCUGAUGCAGCAGCGCCGCGUGCGGGAUGACGGCCUUCGGGUUGUAAACCGCUUUCGCCUGUGACGAAGCGUGAGUGACGGUAAUGGGUAAAGAAGCACCGGCUAACUACGUG
rnacentral:rRNA from 1 species